rnacentral:rRNA from 1 species
UACGGGGGGGGCAAGCGUUGUUCGGAAUUACUGGGCGUAAAGGGCUCGUAGGUGGCCAACUAAGUCGGACGUGAAAUCCCUCGGCUUAACCGGGGAACUGCAUCCGAUACUGGAUGGCUUGAGUUCGGGAGAGGGAUGCGGAAUUCCAGGUGUAGCGGUGAAAUGCGUAGAUAUCUGGAGGAACACCGGUGGCGAAGGCGGCAUCCUGGACCGGCAUUGACGCUGAGGCGCGAAAGCCAGGGGAGCAAACGGG